rnacentral:RNase_P_RNA from 1 species
UAAGCAAGUAAGACAGCAGCGCACCAGAUGUGUGAGGAAAGUCCGAGCUCCACAGAGCGAGGGUAACUGCUAACGGCAGCCGGAGGCGACUCUAGGGAUAGUGCAACAGAAAGAAACCGCCACAAAUUUGUGGUAAGGGUGGAAAGGUGAGGUAAGAGCUCACCAGAGAUUAGGCGACUAAUUUGCUGUGUAAACCCUACCCGGAGCAACACUGACAGGGACACAUAUGCUUGCUCGGCAUGUUCCGAAAAGUGGCUUGAGUCCAGCGGUGACGCUGGUCCCAGAUAGAUUGUUGUCAAAAACAGAACUCGGCUUAUAUACUUGCUUACGCG